rnacentral:rRNA from 1 species
GACGAACGCUGGCGGCGUGCUUAACACAUGCAAGUCGAACGGAAAGGCCCUGCUUUUGUGGGGUGCUCGAGUGGCGAACGGGUGAGUAACACGUAAUUAACCUGCCUUUAACUUUGGGAUAACUUCAGGAACCUGGGCCUAAAACCGGAUAGGAGCUCCUGCUGCAUGUGGGGGGUUGGAAAUUUUCGGCGGUUGGGGAUGGACUCGCGGCUUAUCAGCUUUUUGGUGGGGUAGUGGCUUACCAAGGCUUUGACGGGUAGCCGGCCUGAGAGGGUGACCGGCCACAUUGGGACUGAGAUACGGCCCAGACUCCUACGGGAGGCAGCAGUGGGGAAUAUUGCACAAUGGGCGGAAGCCUGAUGCAGCAACGCCGCGUGCGGGAUGACGGCCUUCGGGUUGUAAACCGCUUUCGCCUGUGACGAAGCGUGAGUGACGGUAAUGGGUAAAGAAGCACCGGCUAACUACGUG